rnacentral:rRNA from 1 species
GACGAGGAUGCAAGUGUUAUCCGGAAUCGAUCGUGGCGUAAAGCGUCUGUAGGUGGUUUAAAAAAGUCUAUUGUUAAAAAUUGAAGCUUAACUUCAAAAGAUGCAAUGGAAACUUUUUAAACUUGAGUUAGGUAGGGGUAGAGGGAAUUUCCAGUGGAGCGGUGAAAUGCGUAGAGUAUUGGAAAGACCACCAAUGGCGAAGGCACUCUACUGGGCCAUUUACUGACACUGGAGAGACGAAAGCUAGGGGAAGCAAAAUGGGAUUGAGAUAACCCGUUGGUAAGUC